rnacentral:lncRNA from 1 species
GGAGGUGAUGACUGUAUCCUCCAGGUGGCUGUGGUGGCUUUCUUGGGAGAAGCUUGGCUGGCUGAGAUGUCCUCUGGUGAUGCUGUUUUGACUUGCUGUCCCCUCAGCUUGCUUCAGAACUUGAGUGGAAUAUUCCAGGCAACCUUGAUGUGGUCUGGUCCCUGGAACACUCAAAAGUGCUUUGAGAACUUUUCCUGGAAGAAAUAAAGGGAGAGAAAUAGAUGAAGAACUAGCUGUGCCGCGUGACGGAGGUUUAACCUCAGGACAUGGUGCCUGGAUGAGAGGUCCUGCUCCCUAUGUAGACAGUGCUGAGUGAGACUGUCCACACUCACCACCAUGGAGGUGGGAAGUGGAUUACAAACCCCUGUGCACAGGGUGCACACGGGCCACAGCUCCUUCCCCACUGCACACAGAUGUCCAGAACAUUACCUGGUAGCCUCUUUCAUAUUACAAACUUCUGGAGGAAGAGAUGAAAAAUUUCAAAUUUGCUCUGCAGAACAAAAAUUGUCCCUUUAAAGAUGAAUGUGCAGCUGUGCCCAGUGCUGAUGGAGUCAUAGCACAGACCAGGGAUUAGUAAACGGUGUGUGCCCCAUUAAGACUAAACAAGCCCCUGCUCAUUAGAGCCCUAAUUGCAGUGGUUAUAUCAAAGCCCCACAGACCUCACCAGUGUCUAGUUCAGCUCUGUGUGUUACAUAGGUGCCUGGCGUCAUCUUCCCACCUGCUGAAAUGAAAGAUUCUUGGAAUAUCCAUGUGUGUAAAACAUGUUUGUGAUGCAAAUAUGAAGGUACCCUUUCAUCCCGUCCCCACUUUGAUGUCAUGGUAG